rnacentral:rRNA from 1 species
GACGAACGCUGGCGGCGUGCCUAAUACAUGCAAGUUGAGCGAUGAAGAUUGGCGCUUGCACCAAUUUGAAGAGCAGCGAACGGGUGAGUAACGCGUGGGGAAUCUGCCUUUGAGCGGGGGACAACAUUUGGAAACGAAUGCUAAUACCGCAUAACAACUUUAAACAUAAGUUUUAAGUUUGAAAGAUGCAAUUGCAUCACUCAAAGAUGAUCCCGCGUUGUAUUAGCUAGUUGGUGAGGUAAAGGCUCACCAAGGCGAUGAUACAUAGCCGACCUGAGAGGGUGAUCGGCCACAUUGGGACUGAGACACGGCCCAAACGCCUACGGGAGGCAGCAGUAGGGAAUCUUCGGCAAUGGACGAAAGUCUGACCGAGCAACGCCGCGUGAGUGAAGAAGGUUUUCGGAUCGUAAAACUCUGUUGGUAGAGAAGAACGCUGGUGAGAGUGGAAAGCUCAUCAAGUGACGGUAACUACCCAGAAAGGGACGGCUAACUACGUG